rnacentral:misc_RNA from 1 species
UAUUGAACUAAUUAAAUAUUAAAAUAAGAUCAAAACAGUUCAUACUAACUUUACUUGACACAUUCCAUCUCCACAGCGCAGAGCAUUCGUUAUUAGGUAGGUACGAUGCUGGAUUUCAAUAAAGCGUCGGACCUUUUGUUACGUGUGCCACCAAUAUUUGAGCUCGCCCGCGAUAUUAAAAGAUUCAUUUCACUCGUUCAUCAUACAGUACCUUGUUAGAUUGAGACCGAUUCAAUGGUACUUUGAUUGAUUUCAUUGAUUUUGCUUAUUUGUUAAUCGUGUAACGUGUAUUUCGUAAGCUCAUUUUUAUAUUAUUUAGAUUUCCAAUUUCAUAUGUUUGGGAUAGGUACAAAAAAGGCUUUGUAUAAACGUUUAAAUAAGUUUUCCUUAAGUUCCUUAAGGACUUUGAGGAAGUAAGCGGCGUUUUAAAUGGAUACGGGAAAUAAACAGAAAAUAAUAUUUAUUUAAGCUAUCAGAGCAUGAUAAACAAACUGGUGAAACGGGGCCUUAGACUAAAAUCAUUAUAUCCAAUAUGGGUCCCGACUGUUACAGUCAAAUAUCCUUCUCCUACGUGGAGAAAGUGGCCUAUGCCCAGCAGUGGGAUAUUACAGACUGAAUCGUGAAUAUAGGUCCCGAUUGUUACAGUCAAUAUGUUUCGUAUUAUUGUAAAAUUUAUAAUUUAAUU